UGAGACACUAGUAAAAUUGAUAUAACACUGCCUUGUCGAGGCAGAGUUGCAGGUUAAAGGCCUGCGUGCCUUAA
rnacentral:tRNA from 1 species